rnacentral:lncRNA from 1 species
AUAUGGAAGUGCACACAUACAAAUUUACAUGCCAUUCCUGAGGAUUUGUGGACCCUUGAAGCCCAUUAUGGACCCCAGCUUAAGAGCUCUUGCCAUGGCCCAGAGGAGCAAGACAGAGCAGACAAAUAUCCAAAGCUGCCACUCUCACAACAGUUGACCCAAGAAAAAGUGAAUGAAAACUUUGAUCAUCUCAUGGAAGUCUAUCUAAAGAAAUCUGACCUAUCAGGAACACCAGUAAGAAUGAAGAAGGAAUCCAAACCACCACACAAAUUGGUAUGAAGUCUGUACAGAAAUGUGCUAAAGUAGAGAGCUAGAUCUGAUGAUUUUUAGAAACAAAAGAACAGCUCUAUUAUUUUACUGGUUACAUGACAUUGGAGAAAUUAUUCUCGCAUCUCAGUUUCAUCAUCUGCCAAGUAUGCAUAAGUCUUCCUCAUGAAGCUGUUAAAUAGAUUUCAUGAAGGCCUUGUAUUAAUAAACUGAGGAAAUUGCUCA